rnacentral:rRNA from 1 species
AAAGGGGGGGGGUGCUAAUACAUGCAAGUCGAGCGGACCACUUCGGUGGUCAGCGGCGGACGGGUGAGUAACACGUGGGCAACCUGCCUGUAAGACUGGGAUAACUUCGGGAAACCGGAGCUAAUACCGGAUAAUCCUUUUCCUCACAUGAGGGAAAGCUGAAAGACGGUUUCGGCUGUCACUUACAGAUGGGCCCGCGGCGCAUUAGCUAGUUGGUGAGGUAACGGCUCACCAAGGCGACGAUGCGUAGCCGACCUGAGAGGGUGAUCGGCCACACUGGGACUGAGACACGGCCCAGACUCCUACGGGAGGCAGCAGUAGGGAAUCUUCCGCAAUGGACGAAAGUCUGACGGAGCAACGCCGCGUGAGCGAAGAAGGCCUUCGGGUCGUAAAGCUCUGUUGUUAGGGAAGAACAAGUAUCGGAGUAACUGCCGGUACCUUGACGGUACCUAACCAGAAAGCCACGGCUAACUACGUGCCAGCAGCCGCGGUAAUACGUAGGUGGCAAGCGUUGUCCGGAAUUAUUGGGCGUAAAGCGCGCGCAGGCGGUCCUUUAAGUCUGAUGUGAAAGCCCACGGCUCAACCGUGGAGGGUCAUUGGAAACUGGGGGACUUGAGUGCAGAAGAGGAAAGUGGAAUUCCACGUGUAGCGGUGAAAUGCGUAGAGAUGUGGAGGAACACCAGUGGCGAAGGCGACUUUCUGGUCUGUAACUGACGCUGAGGCGCGAAAGCGUGGGGAGCAAACAGGAUUAGAUACCCUGGUAGUCCACGCCGUAAACGAUGAGUGCUAAGUGUUAGGGGGUUUCCGCCCCUUAGUGCUGCAGCUAACGCAUUAAGCACUCCGCCUGGGGAGUACGGCCGCAAGGCUGAAACUCAAAGGAAUUGACGGGGGCCCGCACAAGCGGUGGAGCAUGUGCUUUAAUUUCGAAGCAACGCGAAGAACCCUUACCAGGUCUUGACAUCCUCUGACAUCCUGGAGACAGGACGUUUCCCCUUUCGGGGGGACAGAGUGACAGUGUGCAUGAUGUCGUCAGCUCGUGUCGUGAGAUGUGGUUUAAGUCCCGCUACGAGCGCGAACCAUUGAAUCCUUAGUUGGCCAGCCAGUUCCAGUUUGGGGCACACUCUAAAAGUGUG